AGCUUGCACGCGCCACUGCGGGUAAGAAGGGGUUUAGGCAUAUGGCUGCGUGCUAUAUAUUGGGUACGGGGGUGGUGGAAUAGAAUAUAAAGGGUUUUGUGGAGGGUAGUAAUGGUGGGGAGGAAUAUAUGGAGCUUGGGCGUAGAUUUGGGCUUAGGAUUGGGGAUAAGGGCAAGGUGGUCUUUUGGGAUAGGAAUGGGUUCCAGUUACGACAGUCGCCACGUCCUCUUUCUUCUUUUUACCUCCAAAUACGCCAGAUCCACCUUGAAUCUCUUGUUUGGUCGCUUUUAAUGCGGCAAAACUCACUAUUCAGCUGGUCUUAAUUCCGUCCUCUAUCAUCUCCCCCAUUUUGAGGACUUCCAUAUAAGAUUUUCCCAUUGCCGAAAGUAAAUGCUGAAAAUAGGUCUCAUCCUGCGCCUGAAUGAAAACUUCUACCAACUUACUUUCUUUCAUUGGAGGAUUUACCCUGGCAGCCUG
rnacentral:lncRNA from 1 species